GAUGAACGCUGGCGGCGUGCUUAACACAUGCAAGUCGAGCGGAGCUCAAAUGCGGAUCCCCUUCGGGGGUGAAACAUCUGAGCUUAGCGGCGGACGGGUGCGUAACGCGUGGGUAAUCUGCCCUUGUCACCGGGAUAACACAUCGAAAGGUGUGCUAAUACCGGAUGAAAUACAGACCCGGCAUCGGGGCUGUAUCCAAGUCAUGCGGACAAGGAUGAGCCUGCGUCUGAUUAGCUUGUUGGUGGGGUAAAAGCCUACCAAGGCGACGAUCAGUAGCCGACCUGAGAGGGUGAUCGGCCACACUGGAGCUGAGACACGGUCCAGACUCCUACGGGAGGCAGCAGUGGGGAAUAUUGCACAAUGGGCGCAAGCCUGAUGCAGCAAUGCAGCGUGAGUGAUGAAGGCCUUCGGGUCGUAAAACUCUGUCCUAAGGGAAGAUAAUGACGGUACCUUAGGAGGAAGCCCCGGCUAACUACGUGCCAGCCGCCGCCGUAACAC
rnacentral:rRNA from 1 species